UUCAAAACUGUCCUGAGGCCUGUAUGAAUAUAGUGUAGGGAAAUUAUUUACAUCAUUCACAUGAACAAGUGAAAUCAUUAACUUCACUCACAAACUCUGCCUUCUAUUGUAAGAUUCUCAGUUGUUAACUGGACACGGGGAUAAGUGAUUUGUACAGAGGAAUGGACCGGGAAGAUUUAACACCCUUUUACAUGAUGUUCGGCUUGCCCAGAGCACGCCGUGGAAGCUGAAAAACCGGUUGAUCUGGAUGAACAACCGAAGGACACUGAGAACCUUACAGACAGGCUUCUUAAAUCAGCUCAAAAUACUGCUGAAAGUAACUCUGCCUUGCUUAGAAAUGUUUAGAGCACCGAAAUACUGGUUGAGAUUGGCGAGUUGUGUUAUAGCUAUAUCAGAGCUUGGCCUAGGCAGGGCCAUGUGAGCGUGUUUGCCUCUGGAAUCCUGAUUCUCAGUGAAGCUAGCAGCAGCUGUCUGGACAUGCCACGCACUUGAGUAAGAACAGGACAAACAAUCCAACUUAACACUCAAAACGUUUAGCCCUGAAACUUACCAAGCAAGUGUGUAGCUCCUUGGAAUACAUAAGGCUUGUAGUAUCUGGGUAUGAAAAUCUCAAAGGCUCUUGAGUUGUUUUUUUUUAUACCCCUACACAUAAAUCUGUGUAACUUGGCAUCACCUAAAGCACAAGCAAGACUAAAAAUCUGGCCAGAAAAUAUGUCCAGUGACCGUGAACUGGGAAAACUGGCAAAAAGUAUUUAAACAUCCUUGAUUUUUCCUCAGUCUGUUACUAUAGAGCUCUAUGUGAACAGUUUUUCCACCCAAUAUCAAAUAAAUGCUUUAAACUCUUAUCAUUAUGCAGUGCCUCAGAUUGAGGAGUUAUAGGACAGGCAGGAAAAUGGAUUGAGGCCGAUGUAUUCUGCACCGGAGAUGAAAACAUUUACAAGAAAUCAAACUGCAACACACCAAAUUACAUCAUCAGGAAUUUUAUUUAUGUAUAUAAGUCUGUUUCUUUGUUAACUGUUUAAUUCAUAAUACCCAUAAGCAUGUACAUACACUAAAACCAUCCAUGGUUCAUAACUCUUGACAAUCUACUCAUAGCUUUAAAUCAUCUUUUAAAAUAAUUCCUUAAAAGAUUGGGAGGGGGAUAGUUUUCCGAUAGAGUGACAACACACCUGAUUAAUUCACACACGAAGAGAGAAAUGAAAGAGA